CGGAUCUCUUGGUUCUCGCAUCGAUGAAGAACGCAGCGAAUUGCGAUAAGUAAUGUGAAUUGCAGAAUUUUGUGAAUCAUCGAAUCUUUGAACGCACAUUGCACCCUUUGGUAUUCCAAAGGGUAUACCUGUUUGAGCGUCAUUU
rnacentral:rRNA from 1 species